GACUGCAGUGAUGUUUACAACUAACUGAUCACAACCAGUUACAGAUUUCUUUGUUUCUUCUCCAUUCCCACUGCUUCACUC
rnacentral:sRNA from 1 species